rnacentral:rRNA from 1 species
UGGGGAAUAUUGCACAAUGGGCGAAAGCCUGAUGCAGCAACGCCGCGUGAGUGAUGAAGGUCUUCGGAUUGUAAAGCUCUGUCUUUUGGGACGAUAAUGACGGUACCAAAGGAGGAAGCCACGGCUAACUACGUGCCAGCAGCCGCGGUAAUACGUAGGUGGCGAGCGUUGUCCGGACUUACUGGGCGUAAAGGGUGCGUAGGCGGAUGUUUAAAUGAGAUGUGAAAUACCCGGGCUUAACUUGGGUGCUGCAUUUCAAACUGGAUAUCUAGAGUGCAGGAGAGGAGAAUGGAAUUCCUAGUGUAGCGGUGAAAUGCGUAGAGAUUAGGAAGAACACCAGUGGCGAAGGCGAUUCUCUGGACUGUAACUGACGCUGAGGCACGAAAGCGUGGGUAGCAAACAGGAUUAGAUACCCUGGUAGUCCACGCCGUAAACGAUGAGUACUAGGUGUAGGAGGUAUCGACCCCUUCUGUGCCGCAGUAAACACAUUAAGUACUCCGCCUGGGAAGUACGAUCGCAAGAUUAAAACUCUAAAGUGAAUUGACGGGGUC